UGGAGAAAAGCAGGGGAUCGCAAGACCUUGCGCUUUUGGAGUGGCCGAUGCCUGAUUAGCUAGUUGGUGGGGUAAGAGCCUACCAAGGCGACGAUCAGUAGUUGGUCUGAGAGGACGACCAGCCACACUGGGACUGAGACACGGCCCAGACUCCUACGGGAGGCAGCAGUGAGGAAUUUUGGACAAUGGGCGAAAGCCUGAUCCAGCAAUGCCGCGUGAGUGAAGAAGGCCUUCGGGUUGUAAAGCUCUUUCAGUCGAGAAGAAAAGGUCGCGACUAAUAAUCGCGACUCAUGACGGUAUCGACAGAAGAAGCACCGGCUAACUACGUGCCAGCAGCCGCGGUAAUACGUAGGGUGCGAGCGUUAAUCGGAAUUACUGGGCGUAAAGGGUGCGCAGGCGGCUUUGUAAGUCAGAUGUGA
rnacentral:rRNA from 1 species